rnacentral:lncRNA from 7 species
GCCAAGUCAAAAAGUAAAGAAUAACUCGAAGGAAGGAGUGGAUGGCAAGAAAUACAGAGAAAGCAGUGCAUAGCACAGCAGAGCAAAGCAAGGCAAAAUAGCAGCCAAAGCCACGAGAAUCAAGAAGUCAGUGAAGAGCAGGAAAGGAAUGGAGGAAUCUGUCCAGAGCUGUGCCCCUGCUUGCCACAGGAGCUGCGCGGGAGGAGAAGAACGUGGGCCAAAAGGAAUGGAGGAAUCUGUCCAGAGCUGUGCCCCUGCUUGCCACAGGAGCUGCGCGGGAGGAGAAGAACGUGGGCCAAAAGGUAAGAGGAGCUCCUUUGGGUUCUGGGCUUGAAGCAAAGCUGAGAAGCCAUGCCCGGGAGGAGGUGUGGGUUAGCUACAGGCCACCUUGCUAUCUCCCAAGAGAUGAGGUGUGUGGGCUAGGCACCGGGCAGGAGUGCUGGCCAGAAGCAAGCAUCUCUGUGGAGGAAGGCAAAGGGCGGAGGAGGUUAGGGACUGGGAAGGGUUUUUUAAAAUAACAAAAAAUUGUGAAAUGAGGAAGAAAUGAGCUAAAUAAUGCUAAUAAUUAUACAUAAUGGAUUGCAACGAAUUUCAUCAACGCAAAUAUGAAAUUUUACUGUGUAGGAGUGUGUGCAUGCCUCUGACUGAUUAGUGAUCCUGGGAUGGAAGAGAGAAUUUUGCCAGUUUUAGGGGAAUUGAUAUUUUAGCUGUAGCCAUGGAGAGCUUGUUUUGUGGAGAGAGCUGACCUGUUGUUCAU